rnacentral:rRNA from 1 species
GUGUCAGCAGCCGCGGUAAUACGAACCGUGCGAACGUUAUUCGGAAUCACUGGGCUUAAAGCGCGUGUAGGCGGGACUGCACGUCGGUCGCUGAAAUCCCCCGGCUCAACCGGGGAACGGGCGCCGAUACGACCGCCCUGGACGGACGUAGGGGGACCUGGAACUUCCGGUGGAGCGGUGAAAUGCGUUGAGAUCGGAAGGAACGCCCGUGGCGAAAGCGAGGUCCUGGACGUUUUCUGACGCUGAGACGCGAAAGCCAGGGGAGCGAACGGGAUUAGAUACCCCUGUAGUCC